UCACACCUGGCAACAAAAGAUGGCCCAUCC
rnacentral:piRNA from 2 species